AGAAGGCGGGAACUGCCACCUCAGGGGAGGAUUACAAAAUGGCGGCCAUUCCUAUGCACAGCACAAUGACGUAUGUGAGGCCGGACGAGGCGCACCUUGAGCGAAAUUACUGGUAGUUGCCUCUGAGCGCCAAGGCACUUCUGCGGUCCUGGUCCUUCGGCAUGUCCGAAUAGGAGCUUCGAGUCCUUUGCUGAACGGUUUAACGGUUAAGAAUUGUGGCUGGAAGAAAUCGUUAUGACGGCGUGGACCAGAUGGAGAAGAGAAGGCAACCAUGCUGAUUUUAGAAGAUGCCAAAUGUUGGGAAACACUGGCAUACCUUCAUCUAGGCAACAUGUAACCUGCAGUUCCAACCCUAAGUCCAUGCUGCGAGGAUACCUUUUUUACACUGUCAUAGCCUCCAUGGGGAGAGUAUUUUCAAGAACGUAUAGAGCUGGACAAAGGCCUUUCUGUCUUUCAGUGACCUCAGUGCCAACUUGUCUGGAUGCGCCUUUCUGAGUCUUGUAUCACAGAUUACCACCAAAAAACUCAUCUAUGACCCCUCUGAUCUUGGACAGUAAGAAGGGCCAGGAGUUGAUGAGGUAGAUCCGGUCCAUCAUGAUGACAAUGAUACUGUACCAGCGCUGGAACCCCCGGGCGAGACUGUCCUUGAUGAAGAACGUAUGGCUGAAGACAAAGCCGUGCUGCUCAUCCCCAAAAAAGAUGGGCCCUUCCCUGCCAGGGCAGACCUAGUCCAUAGUGACACAUCCAACAACAGACAUGUGAGGGCAGAAUAGAAGAAAAAUAAAGCAAGUUUGCAAAUAUUCUUAAUGAAAAAUAUUAAAUUUUUCUGUUAACAGCUUCAGUGCGGAUUUAUGUGCAUCCAUGGCUGCACAAAUACGUUACUGCAAGAUCAGACUACACAGGGUUUUCUUGUAGUCUGUAUUGUAACAAAGGUCAGAGGGGUAUAAGACUAUUUUAUUUCCAUAUUUCCCAUAAAGGUGACUGGUGU